rnacentral:lncRNA from 1 species
UAGAUAAACAAUCUUCAAAUUGAGAUUGAUGAAGAAAAUGAAAAGAAGACAAACCUUUAUGCGAUGAAAAAUCUCCCUAAACCUCCUUGUUCAGUUGCAAAAUUAGACCAACAAAUUGUAAGUAUCCAUAUGCAAGGCUAAUUUUAUGCGAGCAAUAGAACCUUUUUAUAAAUACUGCAGUAAGUCGAAACAAGUGACUAGAUGACAUGGAGAGCAGUGGAAUUUGCAAAACACUGGAAUAUUCCCAUAUACAACCUGCAACGCUUAUUUGGUGCAUAUUAUUUGAAAGAAGUCGACUGGACUGAUUCGAAAAAGGGUUGUCAUUCUUGCUACUCCUUCUUCUUUACCAAAACUAUGGCGAUUAUUUUUCGACCAUGAAAGCAUGGUAGUCUAAAGAGUAAACUAUAUAUUGCAUAACUUUUAAGGCAACAAAGAUUAAGGAACUAAGAUUUCUAGCAAGAAUAAAAGAUGGCAACAUAAAUUCCCCACUCCGAAUAUUUCCGCCACUGUCCCAAAUUAAUUCCAAUCAAGGUAAUCUCAUGAUUCAUUCUUAUUUGAAUUUUUACUGCUUAUUUCUCUAGACCAAAUCUGAGCAGAGGAGUGAGUCGUUGAAAUAUCUAAUGCUCCAGUAUUGUUCCGGAUUAGGAAGCUGUGAUUUGGAUACAUAAAAAGACGCCUUGUUGUAAAAUUGCAUAUUGUUAUUUUCUAUAAUGAAAAUCAUUUACAAGAAAUUACGUAGGCCUAUACAUCACAAAUGUAUUAAUUGUACAUUAUAGUUUAUGCAAACAAGCCUAAUUGUAACAAGCCUAAUUGUACAUUAUAGUUUAUGCAAAAUUGCAACUACCAUUCCUUCCGUAAGGAAAAGUUAUGAAACACUGAAAAUUGAUCGAGA